rnacentral:rRNA from 1 species
AGUGAACGCUGGCGGUAGGCCUAACACAUGCAAGUCGAACGACAGCACAGGAGAGCUUGCUCUCUGGGUGGCGAGUGGCGGACGGGUGAGGAAUACAUCGGAAUCUACCUUUUCGUGGGGGAUAACGUAGGGAAACUUACGCUAAUACCGCAUACGACCUACGGGUGAAAGUGGGGGACCGCAAGGCCUCACGCGAUUAGAUGAGCCGAUGUCCGAUUAGCUAGUUGGCGGGGUAAUGGCCCACCAAGGCGACGAUCGGUAGCGGGUCUGAGAGGAUGAUCAGCCACACUAGAACUGAGACACGGUCCAGACUCCUACGGGAGGCAGCAGUGGGGAAUAUUGGACAAUGGGCGCAAGCCUGAUCCAGCCAUACCGCGUGGGUGAAGAAGGCCUUCGGGUUGUAAAGCCCUUUUGUUGGGAAAGAAAUCCUGUCGAUUAAUACUCGGUGGGGAUGACGGUACCCAAAGAAUAAGCACCGGCUAACUUCGUGCCAGCCGCCGCAGUAAUAC